ensembl:piRNA 21ur-4056 ncRNA
UAAUGCUUUACGAAAGUCAAA